rnacentral:lncRNA from 1 species
GGGAGGACUCACAUAAUGGUAAGGAGGUGGAGGAGACGACGUUGGUGGUGGAGGGGAUUUGUAGUAGUAGGGAGUACGAGGAGUGGGAGAUGGUGGAGGAGGACUUUGAUAGUGAUAAGGAGGUGGUGGAGAUGGAGAUGGAGGUGGGGGAGAUUUGUAAUAGUAAGGAGGUGGAGGUGACGGGGAUGGUGGUGGAGGUGAUUUGUAAUAGUAGGGAGGUGGUGGAGAUGGCGAUGGUGGUGGUGGAGAGUGAUAGUAGUAUGGGGGAGGAGGGGACGGAGAAGGUGGGGGUGGGCUCUUGUAAUAGUAUGGAGGUGGAGGAGAUGGAGAUGGUGGAGGGGGACUCUUGUAGUAGUAAGGAGGUGGUGGAGAUGGCGAUGGUGGUGGUGGAGAGUGGUAGUAGUAUGGGGGAGGAGGGGAGGGAGACGGUGGAGGUGGACUCUUGUAAUAGUACGGAGGUGGAGGGGAUGGAGAUGGUGGAGGGGGACUCUUGUAAUAGUAUGGAGGUGGAGGUGAUGGGGAUGGUGGUGGAGGUGAUUUGUAGUAAUAAGGAGGUGGUGGAGAUGGCGAUGGUGGUGGUGGAGACUUGUAGUAGUAAGGUGGGGGAGGGGAUGGUGAGGGUGGUGGAGGAGAUUUGUAAUAGUAUGGAGGUGGAGGGGAUGGUGAUGGUGGAGGUGGUGACUUGUAAUAGUAUGGUGGAGGAGGGGAUGGUGAUGGUGGUGGUGGAGACUUGUAGUAGUAAGGUGGGGGAGGGGAUGGUGAAGGUGGUGGAGGAGACUUGUAGUAGUAAGGUGGGGGAGGGGAUGGUGAAGGUGGUGGAGGAGACUUGUAGUAGUAAGGUGGGGGAGGGGAUGGUGAAGGUGGUGGAGGAGACUUGUAAUAGUAUGGUGGAGGAGGGGAUGGUGAUGGUGGGGGUGGUGACUUAUAGUAGUAUGGUGGGUGUGGAAUUUCUUUAGGUGGGGGAGGAGAAUGAUAAUAGUAUGGUGGAGGGGGGGAUGAUCUUGGAGGUGGAGGAGAUUUGUAAUAGUAUAAGGUGGGGGAGGGGAUGGUGAAGGUGGUGGAGGAGACUUGUAGUAGUAAGGUGGGGGAGGGGAUGGUGAAGGUGGUGGAGGAGACUUGUAAUAGUAUGGUGGAGGAGGGGAUGGUGAUGGUGGGGGUGGUGACUUAUAGUAGUAUGGUGGGUGUGGAAUUUCUUUAG